rnacentral:rRNA from 1 species
UAAUGUAUCGGAACGUGCCCAGUCGUGGGGGAUAACUGCUCGAAAGAGCAGCUAAUACCGCAUACGACCUGAGGGUGAAAGCGGGGGAUCGCAAGACCUCGCGCGAUCGGAGCGGCCGAUAUCAGAUUAGGUAGUUGGUGAGGUAAAGGCUCACCAAGCCGACGAUCUGUAGCUGGUCUGAGAGGACGACCAGCCACACUGGGACUGAGACACGGCCCAG